AAAUGAAACUGUUAUACAAAACAAUAACCUACCGGCUCAAAGACCACGGCCUCUUUGUUUUUCUCUCAUUCGUAAACUCGGCAUUUUUGUUUUCUGUUUAUUAUUUAUCGGGUAUUCAUUUCUGGCCUUCAUAUUCGUUUCUUUGGGACGUUUUUCAUUUUUGUUUUACACUCUCGCAACGAACAACCAACCAAACAAACGGCGCGCGCUUGAAGCAGAGUCGACAAUCAACUCCUGAACACCAAGAAGAGGAGGGAUAAAACAACCAAGGAAUUGGAUUGGACACAUUUGUUGGACAGGAUUAUUUAAAAAGCAGCCAACCUUGGAAUCCCUCCGCGAAUUUAAUUGAGUUUGAUAUCUGACUGGUAUUUCUGCCAAAUUGGAAUUAACAAAAAAUAAUUGAAAUGUUCAAACGAAAAAGCAGAAAACUCAGAAAGGAAAAAAAGACAGAUCCAAAAACACGCAAACGUCGUCAAACAGUCGACGUCCUUGUUUCUGAAGUUCAAAGCACUACAACAACGAAAAAAUGCACAUCCAACCAUGAAAUGGGCUUUGAAAACACAAUCCCAAUAGGAAAAAAUAUAAGCAGAUUCAAUGGUGACAUUGGGGUGCCAUGUGAAGAACAAGGAAUUUUUUUGCGAUCAGGAGUGGCAACUCCCAAGGCAAUCUUGAGCGUUGAUCUAACUGCAAACAUUUCCACUAGCAAUGAAACUGUUAUUCCAAACCAAUCGACAAAUUCUAAUUGGAAUUCUAAGCUGGAAAGGAGUUAUGAACAAUUCAAGAAAAUCAGCCAUGACUAUGAGAUUUUUAAGGCUCUGUUUGAAGAUACUAUUAUGGCUGAACAGGAAAAGAUGCUGAAAACCAUUGAAGAAGUUGACAGACUUCACAGGUACUCGAUAUCACUGGAAAUGGAGGCAGCCAAAAUAAAACGUAAACGUUGGUGUAUUCAAUGUCAAAUGGAAGCAAAAUAUCUUAGCACUAAAGGUCACUAUUUUCUGUGUUCACGGAAAUGUGAAGACCUGUAUGAAUCGUCAUUGGGAAGUUAGACUUCAUAAUAUUGUGAAAUAUUUCCCAUUUCUUUUUUUGGUUUUUGCCUUACCCAUGAAAUAAGGUUUUAUUUAACCAAAAAAUCGUUUUGUUUUUGUAAAUGUUAUUGUAAAAGAAAUUACGUUUAAUUUUUUGUCUUUAGUUUUGAAAAAGGUAUUUGAGCAGCUGCGCUGCAACCUUAUCAACAACAACAAAUUACGUUUUCAAACUAUUCUUACUUUGUAUCUUUGUAAUAUUUAAUAUUUAUUAGUUAGACAUUUUCUGAAAAAAAUUAAUUUAGCAUAAUUUAGUAUAGUUCUAAAUAUAAUUUACCGAAAAGAAUCUUUGUACUCUAAAAGAGUAAAUGUAGAAUAUAGUGUACAUACCUAUAAAAUAAACAAUGAAUUUGUAAAAGAA